rnacentral:rRNA from 1 species
CUACGGGCGGCAGCAGUGGGGAAUAUUGCACAAUGGAGGAAACUCUGAUGCAGCAACGCCGCGUGGAGGAUGACACUUUUCGGAGCGUAAACUCCUUUUAUAUAGGAAGAAGAUGACGGUACUAUAUGAAUAAGCGCCGGCUAACUCCGUGCCAGCAGCCGCGGUGAAUACGGAGGGCGCAAGCGUUACUCGGAAUCACUGGGCGUAAAGAGCGUGUAGGCGGAUUAAAAAGUCAGAAGUGAAAUCCUAUAGCUUAACUAUAGAACUGCUUCUGAAACUCUUAAUCUAGAAUAUGGGAGAGGUAGAUGGAAUUUCUGGUGUAGGGGUAAAAUCCGUAGAGAUCAGAAGGAAUACCGAUUGCGAAGGCGAUCUACUAGAACAUUAUUGACGCUGAGACGCGAAAGCGUGGGGAGCAAACAGGAUUAGAUACCCCCGUAGUC